AGGGUUUGAUCAUGGCUCAGGACGAACGCUGGCGGUGCGCCUUAUGCAUGCAAGUUGAGCGAAGCUUUUCAGUAGUUUACUACAGAAAAUGACUGAGCGGCGAACGGGUGAGUAACGCGUGAGCAAUCUACCUUAGUUACUGGGAUAGCCCGAGGAAACUCGGAUUAAUACCGGAUAUUCUUAUUUUUUCACAUGAAGUUUUAAGGAAAGGUCAGCCGAACUAAGAUGAGCUCGCGUUCUAUCAGCUAGUUGGUGGGGUAAAAGCCUACCAAGGCUACGACGGAUAGCUGGUCUGAGAGGACGAUCAGCCACACUGGGACUGAGACACGGCCCAGACUCCUACGGGAGGCUGCAGCAGGGAAUAUUGCGCAAUGAGCGAAAGCUUGACGCAGCGACACCGCGUGUGGGAUGACGGUUCUAGGAUUGUAAACCACUUUCAGGAGGGAAGAAAAUGACGGUACCUCCACAAGAAGACCCGGCCAACUACGUGCCAGCCGCCGCGGUAAUAC
rnacentral:rRNA from 1 species